UACGGAGGGGGUUAGCGUUGUUCGGAAUGACUGAGCGUAAAGCGCGCGUAGGCGGGCUGGAAAGUUGGGGGUGAAAUCCCGGGGCUCAACCCCGGAAUGGCCUUCAAGACUCCCAGCCUAGAGUUCGAGAGAGGUGAGUGGAAUUCCGAGUGUAGAGGUGAAAUUCGUAGAUAUUCGGAGGAACACCAGUGGCGAAGGCGGCUCACUGGCUCGACACUGACGCUGAGGUGCGAAAGCGUGGGGAGCAAACAGG
rnacentral:rRNA from 1 species